GACGAACCGUGCGAACGUUGUUCGGAAUCACUGGGCUUAAAGGGCGCGUAGGCGGGCGAUCAAGUCAGGGGUGAAAUCUUUCGGCUCAACCGGAAAACAGCUUCUGAUACUGGUCGUCUUGAGUGAGGUAGGGGCAUGUGGAACUUCCGGUGGAGCGGUGAAAUGCGUAGAUAUCGGAAGGAACGCCGGUGGCGAAAGCGACGUGCUGGACCUCUUCUGACGCUGAGGCGCGAAAGCUAGGGGAGCAAACGGG
rnacentral:rRNA from 1 species